rnacentral:misc_RNA from 1 species
CAAUAUGAAGGCGGGCUGGACACCCUCCAGCCGGGCACUGCUUCACGGCGUGCGCGGCUGGAGCCGGCCCUGCUGAAUUAUUCACCCGUGUCUUUUGCGUACUUCUUGUUUCCUGGGUGGGCUCGCCCGCCAUCAGGACCAACCAUAAACCUUUUUGUAAUAGCAAUCAGCGUCAGUAACAACGUAAUUAAUUACAACUUUCAACAACGGAUCUCUUGGUUCUGGCAUCGAUGAAGAACGCAGCGAAAUGCGAUACGUAGUGUGAAUUGCAGAAUUCAGUGAAUCAUCGAAUCUUUGAACGCACAUUGCGCCCUUUGGUAUUCCAAAGGGCAUGCCUGUUCGAGCGUCAUUUGUACCCUCAAGCUUUGCUUGGUGUUGGGCGUCUUUUGUCUCCAGCUCGCUGGAGACUCGCCUUAAAGUCAUUGGCAGCCGGCCUACUGGUUUCGGAGCGCAGCACAAGUCGCGCUCUUGCCCAGCCAAGGUCAGCGUCCAGCAAGCCUUUUUUCAACCUUUGACCUCGGAUCAGGUAGGGAUACCCGCUGAACUUAAGCAUAUCAAUAA